rnacentral:rRNA from 1 species
GGAAUUUAUUUAUAUAGGGCCUAAGUAGUAAUAGUUAUGUUCUCAAAAUUUGAAAAAUUUGGCGGUGAUUUAGUCUAGUCAGAGGAACCUGUUUUUGAAUCGAUAAACCACGAAUAAUCUUGCUCGAAUUUGUAGAGUAUGUAUACCAUCAUUAUUAGGUAAUUUUUAUAGAACUAAUUGCUGAAAUUUUUAAUAAUGUUAAAUAUAUUAGAUCAAGGUGCAGCUUAUGUUUGAGUUAAAAUGGGUUACAAUAAGAUUUAUUUAUUACGGAUAGGUAAUUUAAAUAUUACUUGGAAGGAGGAUUUGAUUGUAAAAUAAGUUUAACAUGCUUAUUAGAUAUAAGCUCUAAAUCAUGUACACACCGCCCGCCACCCAACCAAA